rnacentral:lncRNA from 1 species
CGUUUUAGCCCGACGGCUUUUCUUAUUUUGAGGUGCUGUUCGCGACUCAUACAGCUAUCGAACUCCUCGAGAAGCAAAAGAGAGCAAUCAAUGAUUACGGACCUGCGUACAAUACAUCCGGAACCAAAAUCGUAUGGUCGUAAGAUUUUAUUUUGAUAACGCCUGACGCCCAGGCUCGUUGGGCGCGAUGGCCCAAAUGAUAACGUUUUCCAGCUAACGAAUUUGAAGGCGCCCAGAAAACACAGGACUUUCUUUUGUGAAAUUUCUACCCAGAUGCAUAACUGUCCAGGUGAUAAACAGGAGUAAAGUUACUCUCUAUUGUUUCACACUAAAAGCCUGCUGUGGUAUUCGAUUGUACAAGAGUCAACCGGGACCGUCUUUUGAAAGCAAGCGUUCCGUGCUCGUGCAUCGUCCGAAUGAAGUCACAUGCGUAAUUGAAAACGCGAGUGGAAUAAGGCGUACGCAGUAAAUUGAUUUGGAUAUUCGAGCGGACCCGGCAUCUACACGGGGGCAGUAUUGAACGACAUAAAUCUGCUUAAAAAUGGCAUAGUUUCUAUAAAACGCUAUUCUGUAAACUCGACCUUAAACCAGGCUUUUAUUAUUUACAUAUCGAGCCGCUUCCCUGUCGUCUGCAGUCUCCGUUCAUCGGCUGCAAUUGCUAUUAACGGCUUCUGGGUUCGUUAAAGAAGCAACAGGAAGGUGCCACUAUGGAGGAAUAAGGUGCAGUUGCAAACGGCAUGGAUCAAUUUUUGUUUAAUAUCAAAUUUCCCCCAUGGGCUACGUAGCUAGUAGCCGGUCCCCUUGGGGUUUGAGAUGCGCUACUCCCGUUGCGAUGUGUGCAAGUGUGCAUGUUGGAUGAAUGAAGCUACAGCGUGACUGGACGCGAAGUGAAGGCUGCUCGGUAGCAGACGAAGCGAGGAUGUCUGCGCAAGCUGAUGAGGUGAGCGAUGCACUCAUUUUCGAGACGGUACGAUGAUAAAGGCAGCGUACGGGCGCUACGACAGAACCAGCGUCGAAUGUAGGUUAGCCCUUAUUUACACGAGUACCUAGAACAGAAAGUCACAGUAAAGAGUCGACCAGUUACCGUCCUGAAAAUUCAUAUCGACAAACAGAAUACGCUGAGGGCAGGUAAUAUACAGCUAAUGCAAGGAACCUGGUAAAUUAUAGCGCUUCAUUGUAGAGUCAGAGCCGUAGCGAUUAGUUGGGCGUCUCAUGAGGCCGGUAAUACGUGGCUGAUGUAUGCUCUCGGUAACGCACCGUAAAUGAUGGAAUUGCCCACAUUCGAGCUACCGACGACAAUAGGAUACAUACGGAAACAAAUUUAAGGUACUGAUAGCUUAAAAACUGACUGGGAUUCGAGCUCUACUUCAACUGAUGGACACUGUUUGGUUCGCCCAGCAUCGGACUAUAGUUUGCCUCAAAUAAAAUCACUCACCCAAAUCAAAUGAACGCAUCCAUACCACCGCCCACUGGCAGCCCCUGGCACCGAGGCAGGAUUGUAAUGGGUGGACAGGAGACGGCCGCGAAAGAUAGAUAGAGAAGCAUAAGUACGACUUAAUGGGGUUGUUUAGCUCAAAUUUCACUCUUUCACCUGUUUAUAUUACAACCCCGGGAUAAUGGGGACUUUUAGCGCCGUUUCCUCUCUACUGAGGUGUUCUUCAGGGCGAACAGAGUGCCUGCCCCCGACUCAGCAAAAUCAACGAGACUACCGAACGCGCUCUAUAGGGUUCCAGCUUGCCAGUUCUACCGAAGCGAUCGUAUACAAGCAAGAGCCGACGGCAGCACCUCCGAAUGUAAUCAUGUUAUCAUCACAUCGAAAUAGAGAUUGGGACGACUGGUAAUGUUCAUUGCAGCCACUGCUGUUGUCUGCGUACAGAAUGAGUACCUUUCACCUGCUGACAAGGGGUCGAUUCAAGGGAAUUCGUAUCGCUUUUAGCCUCGCAGCUAUCGGAAAUCCAGGAUAGCCGACUGAAGGGGAGACAAGAGGGAGAUUCGUAACCGACUAGGGCGGGUGACCUUUUGAUUGAAUUUGAAGAAGGCAUUUUGCCAUUGACUUGGUCACACAUCACUCUCCGUAAGCUUGAUGCUUUCAACCGAGUAGAGAACGAUGAUGAAAUGUAAGUAGAACUAUGCCGAGACGUACGUCUGCUGGCUGUGUGUGUGUGUGUGACAGGUAAAUCUGCUAAGUAAGGAUGGCCUCACGCUGAGUUCAAAAUGGAUUGAUAAAUUUAACAGGCUAAAAUGAUGGUUAUCAGAUCAGGCUUAUUAAGUCCAUUGCAUCACUAGGGAAAUUCUUCUUUGAUAGGCAUACGUUGUGCAAUAGUAACGUGUUUUCGGCUAAGAUUAGGGAUGCACUGUGUCUAGGUUCGAAUUCACGCUUCCUUUGAUGCUAGGGUUACCCGCGUCUAUGUUACGA